CCCAUCUCUCAUACAAUUGAUACAAUAGUUAAUCCAUUUAAAUCUGGAAUAAAAACAAUCAGGAAUGUUCCUGAACAAUUGAUAAGUACAGUAGAUGAGGUUGUGGAAGGUAUCAGUAAAGUAUUUCAAACUAAAAACCAGAAUCAAGAGUCAUCUAAAGUAGGGGCUUCCUUAGACACCGAGAGCGGCGAUAAUAUUCCAUUAAGAAUAAUGUUACUCCUCAUGGAUGAAGUAUUUGAUCUUAAAUCUCGAAAUCAGUGGCUAAGAAGGAGAAUCGUAGCACUCUUAAGACAGAUUAUACAUACAAUGUUUGGAGAUAUUGUAAACAAGAAAAUUUUAGAUUAUGUUUCUUAUAUGACCAGUCCCAAAAACGUGGCACAUUAUUUGCAGGCGUUCAAACAGUCGUUUUGGCCUAAUGGUAAAAAAGUU